rnacentral:rRNA from 1 species
AUUGAACGCUAGCGGGAUGCCUUACACAUGCAAGUCGAACGGAGUGGCGAACGGGUGUGUAAUGUAUCGGAACGUGCCCAGUAGCGGGGGUUAACUACGCGAAAGCGUAGCUAAUACCGCAUACUAUUGGAGCGGCCGCGAGCGGAUUAGCUGGUUGGUGGGGUAACGGCUCACCAAGGCGACGAUCCGUAGCUGGUGUGAGAGGACGACCAGCCACACUGGGACUGUGACACGUCCCAGACUCCUAAGGGAGGCGGCAGGGGGGCAUUUUGGACAGUGGGGGAAACCCUGAUCCAGCCAUCGCGCGGGUGCGGUGAAGGCCUUCGGGUUGUAAAGCACUUUUGUCAGGAAAGCGGUACCUGCAGAAUAAGCACCGGCUAACUACGUGCCAGCAGCCGCGGUAAUAC